GACGAACGCUGGCGGCGUGCCUAAUACAUGCAAGUAGAACGCUGAAGGAGGAGCUUGCUUCUCUGGAUGAGUUGCGAACGGGUGAGUAACGCGUAGGUAACCUGCCUGGUAGCGGGGGAUAACUAUUGGAAACGAUAGCUAAUACCGCAUAAUAUUGACUAUUGCAUGAUAGUCAGUUGAAAGGUGCAACUGCACCACUACCAGAUGGACCUGCGUUGUAUUAGCUAGUUGGUGGGGUAACGGCUCACCAAGGCGACGAUACAUAGCCGACCUGAGAGGGGGAUCGGCCGCCCUGGGACGGAGACACGGCCCAGACUGCUACGGGAGGCAGCAGUAGGGAAUCUUCGGCAAUGGACGGAAGUCUGACCGAGCAGCGCCGCGUGAGUGAAGAAGGUUUUCGGAUCGGAAAGCUCUGUUGUAAGAGAAGAACGAGUGCGAGAGUGGAAAGCUCACACUGUGACGGUAUCUUACCAGAAAGGGACGGCUAACUACGUG
rnacentral:rRNA from 1 species